rnacentral:rRNA from 1 species
UACGUAGGGUGCGAGCGUUAAUCGGAAUUACUGGGCGUAAAGCGUGCGCAGGCGGUUCGUUGUGUCCGUCGUGAAAGCCCCGGGCUUAACCUGGGAACUGCAGAUGGAUACUGCCGGGCUAGAGUCCGGAAGAGGCGAGUGGAAUUCCUGGUGUAGCGGUGGAAUGCGCAGAUAUCAAGAGGAACACCUGCGGCGAAGGCGGGUUGCUGGGCCGACACUGACGCUGAGGCGCGAAAGCCAGGGGAGCGAACGGG